UUGAUCGCAUAACCUCGUACA
rnacentral:siRNA from 1 species